rnacentral:sRNA from 2 species
AUUCAAUAGAUCGGCUUUCUCAAGGGUGGUCGGCUCACUCACUCAUGUCUAACAAUGGGGGGGUGAUGCUGAUGGAGGUAUAUCAGGCGCUUUCGCUUAUGUUCAUGUUUGGCAUGUUCAUUCUUGCCUUACUGACAUACCUCAAAAAGAAGUAGACCGCCCUUGAGCUUGGGAGCCAGGCGGUCUAUACGCUGUAACCUAUGAGCCGAUCCCUUUUGGGAACGUCUAUUGGAUCAACCGUAGGUGCUGGAACACCUACG